ACACCUCAACUCUCAUGGCUUGCCAUGAUGUGCUUGGACUUUGGGGGUCUUGUUGGCCUGUGAGCCAGCUCCUCUUAAAUGAAUCAGCUUGCCGGUGUUUGGUGGCGUCACAGGUGUGAUAACUAUCUACGCUUGUGGUUUCCCACCAGGGUAACCUUCAGCAAUGAAGGUUCACCGGAGCUUAUAAAUGUCUCUCCUCAGUGAGGACAGAUUUUGACC
rnacentral:misc_RNA from 1 species